AAGACUGCUGCCUGUGAUUACAUUUGCUGUCAGAAAUGUUCGUGUAGAUUUUCCUCAGCAUUUGUCACUACCACUGAGGCAGCACUUUU
rnacentral:snoRNA from 1 species